rnacentral:rRNA from 1 species
ACGAAGGCCCGGAGCUUGCUCCGGAUCCCUUAGUGGCGAACGGGUGAGUAUCGCGUGGGAAUCUACCUAGAAGUGGGGAAUAACUGUUGGAAACGAUAGCUAAUACCGCAUAAUCCCUUCGGGGCAAAGGCUUCGGCCGCUUUUAGAUGAGCCCGCGUUAGAUUAGGCUGUUGGUGAGGUAAUGGCUCACCAAACCUACAAUCUAUAGCUGGUCUGAGAGGAUGAUCAGCCACACUGGGACUGAGACACGGCCCAGACUCCUACGGGAGGCAGCAGUGGGGAAUAUUGGACAAUGGGGGAAACCCUGAUCCAGCAAUGCCGCGUGAGUGAUGAAGGCCUUAGGGUUGUAAAACUCUUUCAGAAGUGAAGAUGAUGACGGUAACUUCAGAAGA